AACGUAGGAGGCGAGCGUUAUCCGGAUUCACUGGGCGUAAAGCGCGUGUAGGUGGCUCGUCAAGCCGAUGGUGAAAGCCUCUGGCUCAACUGGGGGAGGACUGUCGAAACUGGCGGGCUGGAGGAUCCGAGAGGAAGGUGGAAUUCCCGGUGUAGCGGUGGAAUGCGUAGAGAUCGGGAGGAACACCAGUGGCGAAGGCGGCCUUCUGGCGGAUGCCUGACACUGAGACGCGAAAGCGUGGGUAG
rnacentral:rRNA from 1 species